GACGAACGCUGGCGGCGUGCUUAACACAUGCAAGUCGAACGCUGAAGCUUGGUGCUUGCACUGGGUGGAUGAGUGGCGAACGGGUGAGUAAUACGUGAGUAACCUGCCCUUGACUCUGGGAUAAGCCUGGGAAACUGGGUCUAAUACUGGAUACGACAUGCCACUGCAUGGUGGUGUGUGGAAAGGGUUUUACUGGUUUUGGAUGGGCUCACGGCCUAUCAGCUUGUUGGUGGGGUAAUGGCCUACCAAGGCGACGACGGGUAGCCGGCCUGAGAGGGUGACCGGCCACACUGGGACUGAGACACGGCCCAGACUCCUACGGGAGGCAGCAGUGGGGAAUAUUGCACAAUGGGCGGAAGCCUGAUGCAGCGACGCCGCGUGAGGGAUGACGGCCUUAGGGUUGUAAACCUCUUUCAGCACGGAAGAAGCGAGAGUGACGGUACGUGCAGAAGAAGCGCCGGCUAACUACGUG
rnacentral:rRNA from 1 species